ACAUAUGCAGGUUCAUAAAGCAGUGUGCUUGGUUUACUAUUGUGAUCCAGAGCUUAUUGAUUGUAGCAGCCCGCAAACAUUACACGGUUGAUGUUGUUGUGGCAUGGUACAUUGUUAAUUUGGUGGUGUACUUCAUUGACCACAAGUUGCCAGAAUUACCUGACCGUAGUGCGUCAUUUCUGCUACCGCUGAGCAAGGAUGGACGGACAAAAGAAGAGAAUCACAAGCUCUUAAAUGGAAACUCUAGGGAUCCUAUAGAUCGGAGGCUGAGAACUCCAGUAAAUGGUAAAUUUCUCGAAGAUGGCAACACAGUCCAUGUCGAUACAGUGAUGAAUGGGGUGUAGCUUGUUGAUGCUGGUGCUAGGAAUGCUUUACCUUCAAUAUCAUCAGAACUCCAAACUUAUAGUUCAAACUUAAGAUAUAUUAGUUGUUAUCUG